rnacentral:rRNA from 1 species
CCUACGGGCGGCAGCAGUGAGGAAUAUUGGUCAAUGGGCGAGAGCCUGAACCAGCCAAGUCGCGUGAGGGAAGACGGUCCUAUGGGUUGUAAACCUCUUUUGCCGGGGAGCAAAAAGCGGUACGUGUACCGCGUCGAGAGUACCCGGAGAAAAAGCAUCGGCUAACUCCGUGCCAGCAGCCGCGGUAAUACGGAGGAUGCGAGCGUUAUCCGGAUUUAUUGGGUUUAAAGGGUGCGCAGGCGGAAGAUCAAGUCAGCGGUAAAAUUGAGAGGCUCAACCUCUUCGAGCCGUUGAAACUGGUUUUCUUGAGUGAGUGAGAAGUAUGCGGAAUGCGUGGUGUAGCGGUGAAAUGCAUAGAUAUCACGCAGAACUCCGAUUGCGAAGGCAGCAUACCGGCGCUCAACUGACGCUCAUGCACGAAAGUGUGGGUAUCGAACAGGAUUAGAUACCCGAGUAGUC